rnacentral:rRNA from 1 species
GACGAACGCUGGCGGCGUGCUUAACACAUGCAAGUCGAGCGGUAAGGCCCUUUCGGGGUACGACGAGCGGCGAACGGGUGAGUAACACGUGGGUGACCUCGCCCUCCAGCUCUGGGAGUAAGCCUGGGAAACCGGGUACUAAUACCGGAUAUGACUCCAUGACGCAUGUUGUGGGGUGGAAAGCCUUGUGCGGCUGAGGAUGGGCCCGCGGCCUAUCAGCUUGUUGGUGGGGUGAUGGCCUACCAAGGCGACGACGGGUAGCCGGCCUGAGAGGGCGACCGGCCACACUGGGACUGAGACACGGCCCAGACUCCUACGGGAGGCAGCAGUGGGGAAUCUUGCGCAAUGGGCGAAAGCCUGACGCAGCGACGCCGCGUGAGGGAUGACGGCCUGUGU